GUGGUAAACCUUUGUCUUGCACUUGACCUUUGGAGCCUCAUGAGGAUAAAUAGAAGAAAUGCUGAAAGAGAAGACAAAAGUUCCACCCACAUAAUAUCCUUCAUCAGGCCGAAUGGUGACUUCAAAGUUCAUGAGGUCAUCUUUUCCGUUAGGGAAUGAUAUGCUACACGUUUCAGGUAGAUUUAGUUCACUGAUAUCUUUAUGAAGACGCAGCUCUCCUGCACUUUGUUUCUUAAUUGGUGGCUUUCCAUUUGCAUUUUCAGCAAGCUCUCUCUGUUUCUCCUUCACUUUAAACAACUUAAUCAUGGUUCCCAAAAUUAUGUGAACCUCCUCCUGCUGCUGCUGAAAUGAGAAUCUGCAAAAAGAAGAUUGAAGAAUAGUGAUGGAGUCUCU
rnacentral:misc_RNA from 1 species